CCCGCGUCCUCGGCUGCGCUCCGCUCCGCUCCCCUCCGCUCCCCUGCCCGUCCCGCCAGCGGGGCCUGGGGUCCUUGCCGCGCAGGGACAGCGUUUGCUUUCAGCGAGGUUGGACUUGGUGCUGGCAGUUCCGAAGGGAGCAGAACCGAGGGGCGAGGAAGGGCUGCGAGCGUGGCACGUUCGUGCUCAGCCGCCGAGUCCCGGUAGCGUCGGCGUGUCGGAACUCAGUGCAAGUUACGUCUCUGUGAAGGACAAAGGCACAUCUGCAAUAAAGGGACGACAGAAGAGACGCUCAGUACACCUCCUGACUUUAAAAUCUGUUCGUCUUCUCUACAUGCUACAAUAUUGGUUUGUAUAAAUAACGGCUAGAUUAGAAAUUUAAAUGCAACUUUUGAAACUGAAGAUAGAGACUCUGCCAAAUGGAGUGAUGAGCUCUGGGCAGCAGAGAUCUGUUCCUCCUGCCUUUUUCGUGUGGGGAGAGAGACUUUUAACUGGCCAGGUCAAGCAGAUAUGUGUUUUCUCUUAAUCAGAUCAUACUGGAUGUUCAGCCACACUGAACUUGAAUGCCUCCUUCUCUGCACUUGGGAUUUACCAGUCUAGUCACGGGUUAAGGCCAAGUUAUCUGAUCACAGGAACCUUCAUUCCUUAGGUCACCUCCUGCAUUUUUCCCCAGAAGGAAAGGAUGGCAGUAGUAGCUGAACACUCUGGUAA